rnacentral:misc_RNA from 1 species
UCGCACCUUGCGGUGGCAGUCCCUCCAGAGUCCCCAGCAUCACCUGAUGGCAACUGAAGGCAAGGGUUGCGCUCGUUAUGGCACUUAAGCCGACACUUCACAGCACGAGCUGACGACAACCAUGCAGCACCUCGACAACUGUCCGAAGACUAUACCAUCUCUGGUAUAUUCAGCUGCCGUUCGAGCCCGGGUAAGGUUCCUCGCGUAUCAUCGAAUUAAACCACAUGUUCCUCCGCUUGUGCGGGCCCCCGUCAAUUCCUUUGAGUUUCAGCCUUGCGGCCGUACUCCCCAGGUGGAUGACUUAUCGCUUUCGCUUGGCCACCGACUGUGUAUCGCCGACGGUUAGUCAUCAUCGUUUACAGCGUGGACUAC